UUCUCCGUCGUUCCAAACCCUAGCACUAUAAAUAUGUACGGCUCCCUGUUGUUUUCGUUUCUUUUGUUCUCGAAGCCGCUCCAAGGAGAGAGUUGAGAGGCGGAGAUCGGCGUAGUUUCGAGAGCUCGCGGGUUGAGACGAUGAGGGCGAAGUGGAAGAAGAAGCGCAUGAGGAGGCUCAAGAGGAAGCGCCGAAAGAUGAGGCAGAGAUCCAAGUAGACGAAGGGACGGAUUCAAGGGCUAUCUCCUUUGGUUUUUUUUUCCUUUUUAUAUAUAUUUUUCCCCCUCCUUUGAGAGGCCUCUAGACUUGCGUUUUGUCGAGUUAAAAAUGUUCUAACUUUCCUUCAGACCAUGAAAACCAAGACGUUUUAUUUUGAGUUAUGAUGAGUCCCCGUUCGGGGACUAAUCUAUGAGCUUCCGUUUGCU